rnacentral:misc_RNA from 1 species
GCUGUUUGUUCUUGUGAUAAGCUGAAAUUGUGAUAUCUGUAACCAGCAGGUCUUGCUGUUCUUGUGUGUGUUCUGUGAGAAAUGACUGUGCAGUGGCUGAGUGCUCAUUUAUGUGAUUUGUGUACAGAGAACAGUAUUUACCGAGGAGGAAAGAUGUCAACUUCUUUUUACCUACUCUUGCAUUCAAGUCCAAUUUUCCUUUUAAUGAUAGAUUUAUUGUUUAAAGCAAAGUGAUGAAAUCAUAUUGAAUACAAUGCUAUUUUAUUUAAUGUACAGAAGAGAUCCAGUUAGAAAAUUGUCUAGUUAGCUAUUUAUUCUAUGUUGAUGAUUUGUGACAGGAUACUGGCAGCAACAGAAUGUUGAUUUUAUCUCAUGCAAAUCAAUUAUGUCAGUUAAUGUUCUAAAUAGUGCAACUGUGAGAUACUGGUAAACAUGUGCAUGAUUAGAAAUUGAAUGUGUAGACUUUACAUGAAAUAAGUUGCAUGUAAAACCUUUGGUUGAUAAUUACCGAUACUAUAUUAUACAAUGUUUUACCAGUAAACUGUGACUGUUGGUUUAAAAUACAGCACAGAUACUGUUGACCUCUUGCACACUGUGCUGUGUAUGGAUCAAUGAAAUUAAUGAAAUACCAUUUGGGAUUUAAAGAUUUGUGGUUUUGUCUCAAUCUACAUCAAGUGUUCAAAUGAAUAAAUUUAGAGAAUUU